GACACAAUAACUCACCAUAUAGACUGAGCCCUGGGGAGGAGCCUGUUGGGAAGCAAGGAGAGCGAAGAAAACACUUUUAAUGAACAACAAUUGAGAGAAAGUCAGGAGGAAGUUGAAAGGAGACAAACAGAUUCAGAGGAGAGAAACAUAAAAGUGUAUUGUGAUUCUCAUAGACGUUCUCUGCUUCACCCGAAUGGACAGACAGAGACUGUUCAAUACCUGAAUAUAAAGAGAUGGAGCCUCAUAGAUGAAUGCACACACUUAUCUGUAUAGGGAGGAAGGAGGUGGGGGCAGAUUUAUUUCAACAACCCCAGAGGAUGUCAUGGCCCACAUCACUCAGCGACAGCCGACAGGGACCGAAGAUGGACGGAACAUGGAAAGCUGUCAAAAAAGAAAUCGCCGGAAGACUCACCGCGAUCAGAAAUGUGUUUCUGUCUCCAUAGCAACACACCGACAGCUGCAGCAACCAGGGGCACAAGGAGUAAUAAAGCAGACAGAGAAGGAAGAGGGGAGGGGGUGGUGACACUCACACUCUCUACAAAAGAGGAAAAAAAGAAAAAAAAGUGGGUGAGGACAAAAGCAUGAAUGUUUCCAAGAACAGUGCUAAUUUAAAAUGCAUCGAAUGAUGAGACUGUGAGCUUCAUCGGCAUGAAGGCUGCCAGGGAACUCAAAGGUGUGCGCUCACAAAU